rnacentral:rRNA from 1 species
AUGCUCACCAAUCUCGCAAGCUCGACCUCACCUACAAGGCUACAAGCUACAAUGCGCUCACGGGCGAGCUCACACAUGCUGGAGGAGUUCCGGCUCAGGAAGAACAACCUCACCAUCACGAUCCUGCCGGCGCUCGGCAACAGGACCAGCCUCCGGUACCUGGACCUUCGGUCGAACUGCUUCGGCGGUGACCUCGGAGCCUUUGACUUCUCCCGCCUCGCCAAUCUCACCGUCUUGAACCCAAAAAUGCUACACUUACGGGGCUGGAAUUACGGAAGGAACUUACGGGGCUGUCUUGAACCUGGCCUCCAACAACCUCACCGUCACUAUGCCCAAAAAUGCUAA